UCGAUUUUUAAUAAUUACAAGUGUGAAUAACACGAACAAAAAAAUAAUUUGGUUCAGUCCGUCCCAAUCGUCCUUCCCCCAUCGAAAUACGCCGAUGCACAAUAUUAUACGUAUUGCCUAUGUAAUAUUCUAAUGUAAUAUUUUCCUAAAUAAUUUUCAGAGCGCGCGACCGAUAUGCCGACGACGAGCGGCCGCCGCACACGCGCGUAACAUAUAAAUCGUGCCGAAAAAGGUGUGGUCCUCGGUUAUAUUCGGUCGAAAAGGAGUAUGGGGGAAGAAAAUAAAUGGGUGAAAAAAAAAGAAAAAAAUAAUUCGUGUAUAUAAGACCUAUUGAAAAAAUAUUGAUUUCGACGGCCACGG